UUCUGGACAAUGCUUGUCACUUGGGGGUUACGACGGACCGACUCUUAAAUCGGUCACCUUUACCACCCUCGGGAAGGUCUGAGACUAGGGUCUGCGAUACACUUCCUAGACGGAAGCGCUCUGAGAAGGGCGGCGGCGGACUAGAAACUACCCUCGCAGCGGACCAAACGGCAGGCGAUGGAUGAAUUGGUCUUCGGACCAACUCCGGAUGUCGGUCUGUCUGUUGAGUUGGGAAACGCUGCGACCAGCUUCGCAGCACAAUUGACAAGGUGGCGUCUCUGUGCGCCAUAACUCAAUUCAGACUAUUCUGUUCAGAA
rnacentral:RNase_P_RNA from 1 species